CAAAUUGGAAGGACGGGACAACGUAUCCCGUUGCUUAGUUUAUCCCACUCGAAGGGGACUGAGCUGACCGAUGAGAUGCUUGGGUCACUUUUGUCCGACCUCUCGUCGAAGUAUCUCUGGCCGUCAUGCGAAGGUGUCCCUGGCCGACCGUUCACCACUUCUCCUCUGAUUUCUCGCCGGACCGAUCUACGGGUCUCUCCGAUUUGAAAACCCCCGGCUUCCAUCUAUAAAUUAGGGCUUGAUAUUCACGAGGAAGAAGGCUUAAUUUCGGAGGCUUAACUAGAUCUACAGCAUCUAGUUUGGAAGGUAAGUUUUCUAUUUCUGCCUAUUGUUGAUGUGUUGCUUAUGAUGUGUUGAUUAUGUGUUUGACGAAAUACUCUGUGUGGGCUAGAUUAAUAUAAACCAUUUUUUAGUUGCUUCUGUCUGUUUCAUAUGCUGCUUUGAGAAUUCUGCCUCUGUUUGUGAUGUUGCCUUGAGAUGUUGCUUUUCGAUGGAAGGCACAUUUUGAUUUUAGGAUUUUUGUCUUUGUACUCCUAUGUAAGAUAAAUGUAUAUGGAGUGGGAUAAAUUUGUUAAUAAAUUAUACAAAACUUGUUAAUAAAUUUAACAAAAUUAACAAUUUAUAUAUUGUACAAAACUACCAUUGAGACGUCAGAAUUAUUAGUAUUAUUAUUAUUUUUUUUAAACGUCUGAUAAGCAUUCUGCAAAUUGAUUACCAUAGAUGAUUGGCAUGCAUAUUGAAUACCAUUAGAAAACAGGACACUUUCGGUAGCUUGGCUGAAAAUCGAUGGGUGUUAACCAUGUUAACUAGGUUUGACCAAUGGUCCUAAGGGUAGGUUUGAAGUUGAUUUGAUGGUUAACGUAGGUGAGGACAACAGAUACCAAUGAGACUGAAAUUCCAUAAGGAAAAUGUAGACAAAAGCGGAUGAAGUAUUUCAAGUAACUCGCUGCAUCUUAGCUUUAUACAAGUCCCUGAUUCUGAAGCAUGCUCCUACAAGAUUCUGUUUUGUGCUUGUCUUAGUGGAGUAUUAUUAGUACUGUGAAAAAGUGUUUUGGGUUGAUACCAACCUGUGAUAUAACUUAAUCCUUGAUUAUGAUGUUUAUAGUAAUGAAAAUAUGCUUGGCACACAUAACUAGCCCACUUUUUCAAAGUCAUAGCUUUUGAGUUUGUUGGUUUACAUGAUAUCAGAACUUUGACAGCGAAGUCUUGAGUUGUUUUCUUGUUAUGCUUCUCGUAUUGGAGUGUCGUGGCUCUACCUCUCUUUAUUUUCCUGCAGUAGACAGCUUUCUAAUGCUUUUCUUGAUUAUUUCAUCACAUUCCAAGGUCAGGCGCUAUAUGGAAUUUCAGACAGACAUACAUAUUGAAUCCUCAAAAGCCUUGAGUAAACUAAAUCUCAGACUUCCUUUUCUAAAAGUUGAACAUAGAUGCUGUAUAUGAGAAUCAUUAAAACUAACGUAAUUUAAUGUAUAUUUAAUAUUUAACAAGCAUUCUACUAUAUGGCCUUCCUAGAAAUAUACAUAUUUCUUGCUGUAAGAAAUAUACCUGUGUUAGAUUCAAGGUAGCCAUUUAUUUUUGAGAAGAGUGAGAUCCAGGUCUAAGUAUUAAUUUCACUUUUCUGUUUUAAUUAUUUUAUCCAGAAUUUAGUGAAGAGACAUGUUAAAUGAUGAACCUCCAUCUGCUAACAAAGUAUAAUAAAUUAUCUGAAAAAAGACAUUUAAAAAAAAUGUAUAAAUCCAACUUCAUCAAUUUAAGAACUUGACCACUAAGAUUUAAAACGAAAUCUUGUAAUAAAUUAUCUGUAAUGCAAUUUUUUCUUGCUGUAAUAGUGUUAUGUUUGCUACUUCACUAUGUCAUGUAAAGUUUGUAGUCCAUGUUGAGCUGAUAGUAUGCUUUCCAUUGAAAUUAUCCUUGCUUUUCGUGCCAUAAUCAUCGCUGUUACCAGCCAAAAGAGGAAAGCUCCAAUAGCCUGCCCAAGCCACUACUUGUAUUGGCAAAUUAUUGUAAACUAUGUCUCUAACUUGAGCAAUAUAGGAAGAUGGUGUGAAGGGAAAGCAGAGAUGCUGUGAAGGGAAAGGAAAGAUGACAACUUUUCCUCUGGCCCUUCAUGUUUCUAAAUACCGGUCUAUCUGCUUUCAAUUCAGUUGCUGUUUUUACCACUUUAGCAUAUGAUAUGCUGGCUUCGAAGUUUUUAUCAGCAUGUGCUUGCUUUUCUCCACUUUCACCUGCUAACACUGGGAUCACCUUCUCCCCAUUCUCUUCCAAUUUUAAUUUUUUCUCUUGUCGUAUUUCAGUAUCUACAUUGAAAUAACUGUAGCCCAAUUUUUGAUAUCAUAUUUGACUAAUUUUGUAGGGAUCAUAAUGCAAAAUAUGUUUAUUAAUGUGCAAAAUUAAAUAGUAUUUUCUAGUA